AUUGAAUGCUGGCGGCAGGCCUAACACAUGCAAGUCGAGCGGAUGAGUGGAGCUUGCUCCAUGAUUCAGCGGCGGACGGGUGAGUAAUGCCUAGGAAUCUGCCUGGUAGUGGGGGACAACGUUUCGAAAGGAACGCUAAUACCGCAUACGUCCUACGGGAGAAAGUGGGGGAUCUUCGGACCUCACGCUAUCAGAUGAGCCUAGGUCGGAUUAGCUAGUUGGUGAGGUAAAGGCUCACCAAGGCGACGAUCCGUAACUGGUCUGAGAGGAUGAUCAGUCACACUGGAACUGAGACACGGUCCAGACUCCUACGGGAGGCAGCAGUGGGGAAUAUUGGACAAUGGGCGAAAGCCUGAUCCAGCCAUGCCGCGUGUGUGAAGAAGGUCUUCGGAUUGUAAAGCACCUUAAGUUGGGAGGAAGGGCAGUAAGUUAAUACCUUGCUGUUUUGACGUUACCAACAGAAUAAGCACCGGCUAACUUCGUGCCAGCCGCCGCCGUAAGAC
rnacentral:rRNA from 1 species